UAUUUAUUUGACAGAGAUCACAAGCAGGCAGAGAGAGAGGAGAAAGCAGGCUCCCCGCAGAGCAGAGAGCCCGAUGUGGGGCUCGAUCCUAGGACCCUGGAUCAUGACCCGAGCCGAAGGUGUGGACUCACACCACCACGGUAAACAGGAUGAUGUGGGUCACACUCCACAAAACGGCCCAAACCAAGAGACAUCGAGAGAGGGAACCCAAGCAGGGAAAGUGAGCAGAAGCCCAAAGCGGAGCUCGAUCCCAGGAUCGAGGCAUCAGGACUGGAGCCAAAGGCAGACGCGUAAGGACUGAGCCUCCCAGGAUCCCCUGAAAAUACUUUCUAAACUGUCAAGGGAUGUGCCAACACGGAGCUGAGCUCCUGGGCUCAGCCAUUUACACCCCGGAGAAGAGCCGGAGCGCAGCCUUGUCCUGCUCUCCGCUCUCCGUUAUCGCCGCGGCAUGUCAUACCCUCUCCCGCGGAUCCGGCCCGAGCCGCUGAAACCCUGAGAAUGCUCAGGCAAGAAGCAAAGCUGCUCUCCCAACCUAGAAGGAGUCUUGGCCACAGAAUGAAAAACAGCAGGAAUUGAAAGCAGUCUGCCUAGUAGGGCUGAGCGUCCUCGCAGCUCAGCAGGCUUCGGUGUGAAGGAGCUAAUAAAUCCAACACCACUGGAGACCAGGAUGCUGCCCAGCCCCAGCCAGCCCCAGGCCCAGUAUCCACGCCAGACUGAGGCAGGCUGGAGACCCCCGGCCAGGAGCCUGAGAGCAGCGCCCACCUGGCAUGAGCCUCACUUCAACCCCCCUGGUUGUCGCCGGAGGACGGAGCCGGGCAUCUGCUCCUGAAGCUGAUUUUAAGCAUCAGGACCCUGAAGUUCUGGGAUGUUCUGGGAAGCGAAAAGAUUUGCCAAUGACCUCACGGCCAGAGGCCUCCAGGCUUUAUUGAAGGCUUUUCCCCCUGACCCACGGCACCCCAGCCUCCCCUCUCCGCACCUGCACCUGAGGGUUGAGCCAGCACCUCCUGGGUGCAACUUCGGAGUUGAGGUUUGGAAACCGGAUCUUAGAGAUUGCUUAGCAUAGUAGUUUGCAAGUACCUGAUUUGGGGUAACAUGUGGAUGAACAGUUCCAUAUUUUGAGAUGUGAUGGGUGUGUAUGUGUUAUAAUAUGUUAUAAUAUCUGUAUAUAAUAUAGUCUGUUGUUAUAUUGUUUUA